AUCCGAAUCCGAGCUUUCUGAAGUUAAACGAUACUUACCAUCAUGGCUAUCUGUCGUUGGCCAAGUAGUAGGCCUGAAGAUUCCCUUCGAAAUCCAAAAGAAAUCAGAUACACAUACCAGCUAGUAUCAGUGUAGCACUUGUUCCUGAUAGGGAGAUUAACUCAACUGGUUUAAGUAACUAUUAAGAUUUUUGAGGUCCAGGGUUCGAGUCUCCCUGCGAUUUAUGUGGUUCUGGUAUAUCAUUCGAAGGUUGUCAUUUUUACAUCUUGUAAAGAAUAAAAAAAGAAUUCGGUUUGCCCCUUAUCAAAAUCCGAGCUUUCUGAAAUUAAACGAUACUUACCAUCAUGGCUAUCUGUCGUUGGCCAAGCAGUCGGCCUGAAGAUUCCCUUCGAAAUCCAGAAGAAAUCAGAUACACAUACCAGCUAGUAUCAGUGUAGCACUUAUUCCUGAUAGGGAGAUUAGCUCAACUGGUUUAGUAACUAUUAAAAAUUUUGAGGUCCAGAGUUCGAUACUUACUAUCAUGGCUAUCUGUCGUUGGCCAAGCAGUCGGCCUGAAGAUUCCCUUCGAAAUCCAAAAGAAAUCAGAUACACAUACCAGCUAGUAUCAGUGUAGCACUUGUUUCUGAUAGGGAGAUUAACCCAACUGGUUUCAGUAACUAUUAAGAUUUUUGAGAUCCAGGGUUCGAGUCUCCCUGUGUACAUUUCCACUGCGAUUUAUAUGGUUCUGGUAUAUCAUUUGAAUGUUGAC
rnacentral:lncRNA from 1 species